ACAGCAGAGGAAGAAAAAGAAAGAGAGAGAGAGGAAGAAGGUGAGGCGAGAGCGAAAACGUUUAAAGCAGAAGUGCAAAGAAAGAAGUCUUGACGCAUUUCGGUCUGGAGUUGUCACGUGACUCGCUGAAACGGGCAGAAUUAGGGAAGAUUGACAGAAUAUUUUCUAACUCUGGCAACAUAUACAUCAUUAUUUAUUAUAAUAACGCACUCCCACUUAGACACAUGUGGCCAGGAACACAGUUGCUGGCAGAUACCAACUCGUUCCCACGAACUCCUCUUAAAUCUGUGCAUUUAAUACAAGUGACUGCACCCUAUAUCAUUACCAAUCAUUUUUAUCUUUCCCAGGUAUGGGGUCUGUUGACCUCAACGAUCCCUCAAUUAUCUACAAAAAAAGCCGUUCAAAAUGGUACCAUGGAAUCGCAGACUUCGCCAAUGUAAUGAAGGCAUUUAUUGGCACCAAUUAUUUAUCUGUACCAUAUGCUUUCAGUCAAAGUGGAAUUAUUGCGGGCUUGAUUCUACUUCUCAUCAUUGCUAGCCUUACCAGCCACUGUUGUCAGCUGAUUGUGAAAUGUAAAUAUUAUGCUUUGGAUAUUCUUCUUUGGAAAUUCGAUGCCCGUCACUUGAAGUCAUCUGAUAAUAUGGAUCAACAGCGCCUUGAGCUGGAAAGUCAACUACAGAGACAACUAUCCUAUGGAGACAUUGGCAUGAUUGCUUUUGGCCGUAUUGGUCAAGGUGUCGUGAACUUUUGUGUCUUUUUAACGCAGUUUGGUUACUGCAUCGGCUAUUCCAUUUUUGUUGGUAACACACUGCUAUCUUUUUUCCCUGUUGUUCCGCAAUGUGUGCUUUUACAUGUGGCAAACAACACUCAGCUUAACACCUCUUUAAGUUUGAAGCACAUAAUGGGAAUUCCUUCUAACCAAUUUAAUCGUUUACCAAACCACAGUAUAUCUUGGAACUGCACUAAUGUUUUUAACAAAAGUGGAACUUUAAUUCCACCUUCAGUGACUGAAACCCCUAAGGGCACUAAAAAAACAGUUAUCUCUCACCUCAGUAACCACAAUGCCACUUUCCCAGUUACGACAUCAAUAUCACCUUCAAUAUCCACAGAUAUAAUCACUUCAUCUUCACAUCUUUUGCUACCACGUGUUUCCUUUGUAAAGAUGGCACCCAAUCUGUAUAUUCUCAUUUUGCUUCAAUUACCGAUUCUCAUCCUGUUCUCCUUUGUUCGAAAUAUGCGUGUCUUGGGAAUUAUAAGUAUUUGUGCCAAUGCAUCUAUUGUUCUUGGUUGGGGUGCCAUCAUGAUUUUCCUUUUCAUAAAAUUUUCAUUCAGUGAUGAGUUGAAAUUAAUAUCUUCAGAAGCAUCGAUAUUUUUUGGCUUGUUAGCUAGUGCCUUUGAAGGAAUUGGAACUAUUAUUCCAAUUGAAAGUAGUAUGGAUGGGAACCGCCACAAUUUCCCUAAAUUUCUUAACGGUGCUAUACUGAUAGUUAGCUUCAUUCUGCUGGUGCUUGGUUUGUUUGGUUACCUACGGUUUGGCUCUCAUGUUAACCAAUUGAUCAACCUGUCCCUUAUUCAUAGUGGUUUAGGUGCGCAUUUGCUUAAUGCCUGCCUCAUUGUAGCUGUGAUCUGUACAUAUCCUCUAAUGAUUUAUCCUGUGUUGCAGAUGAUUGAAAACUUUGUCUUUGUGCAAGAAACAAUAACUGACAAUGAGACCAUGUCCACAAAUCUCCUAGAUUCAUUUGAAGAAGAUUAUCCAUUACCUGUAACCAAACCAAUUCCUUCAUCAGUUCCUUCUUGGAAAAGACAUGGUGUUAGAAUCUCCGUCAUUACAUCAACUAUUGGUUUUGGUAUUCUCUUUCAACACCACUUUGCAUACUUAACAGCUAUUUUAGGUUCAAUUGGAGGGACGCUUCUCUUGUUUAUCCUGCCCUGCAUCUUUGAGUUGUCUCUGUGGUGGAAAAAAUUGUCUGUUAAAGUAAUAAUCAAGAAUGUGUUUAUUGCAUUGUUUGGUCUUCUUGGCAGCUGUCUUAGUCUGUAUUCCAUCCUAAGAAAGAUGAGCCGAUCCUGAAGCCAUCCAGAUAGCAGUUGCAUGACAUUGCAUAUCAGCUUACUUGGUCAGAAUGUUAGGCAGUGUGUAUAUAUAUAUAUAUAUAUAUAUAU
rnacentral:misc_RNA from 1 species